rnacentral:tRNA from 1 species
AUCAGAGUGGCGCAGUGGAAGGGUUGUGGGCCCAUAACCCAUUGGUCCCAGGAUCAAAACAUGGCUCUGAUA